rnacentral:rRNA from 1 species
UACGAAGGGGGCUAGCGUUGCUCGGAAUCACUGGGCGUAAAGCGCACGUAGGCGGCUUGUUAAGUCAGGGGGUGAAAUCCUGGAGCUCAACUCCAGAACUGCCUUUGAUACUGGCCGAGCUUGAGUUCGGGAGAGGUGAGUGGAACUGCGAGUGUAGAGGUGAAAUUCGUAGAUAUUCGGAAGAACACCAGUGGCGAAGGCGGCUCACUGGACGACUGUUGACGCUGAGGUGCGAAAGCGUGGGGAGCAAACAGG